GACAGAGGGUGCAAACGUUUGUUCGGAAUUACUGGGCGGUAAAGACGCGUGUAGGCGGCCAACUAAGUUCGGGCGUGAAAUCCCACGGCUACGAACCGUGGGAAGUGCACUCGAAACUGACUGGAGCUAGACUCGGAGAGGAAGGUGGAAUGCUUGGUGUAGAGGUGAAAUUCGUAGAUAUCAAGCGGAACACCGGUGGCGAAGGUCGGCCUUA
rnacentral:rRNA from 1 species